rnacentral:rRNA from 1 species
AACUAUAUGUUAUUAUAUAUAGCUAUUCUUGCUCAAUGAUUUUAAAUAGCCGCAGUACCCUGMCUGUGCAAAGGUAGCAUAAUCAGUUGGCUUUUAAUUGGAGUCUGGCAUGAACGGAUUUCUGGAAAGUAACUGUAUCUUAUUUAUUUACGCGAAAUUAAUUUGUAAGUGAAAAUACUUACAUCUUUAGAGAGGACGAGAAGACCCUAGAAAUUUCUUUUAUUUUGUUGGGGCGACAGAAUUACAAUUAAACUAAUUUGAAUUAACGUGGCGUUAUUACAGUUCGAUUAAAUUACUCUAGGGAUAACAGCAUAAUUUAACUAGUUUGUGACCUCGAUGUUGGACUAGGACAUUAAUGGUUUAGAAGACCUUUAAUAGUGCUCUGUUCGAGCAAUAUUUCCU